UUGAACGCUGACGGUAUGCUUAACACAUGCAAGUCGAACGGUAACAGGCGGAGCUUGCUCUGCGCUGACGAGUGGCGGACGGGUGCGUAACGCGUGGGAAUCUACCUUAUAGUGGGGGAUAGCCCGGAGAAAUCCGGAUUAAUACCGCAUAAUCUCUACGGAGCAAAGUGGGGGAUCUUCGGACCUCACGCUAUUAGAUGAGCCCGCGUUAGAUUAGCUUGUUGGUGAGGUAAUGGCUCACCAAGGCAACGAUCUAUAGCUGGUUUGAGAGGAUGAUCAGCCACACUGGGACUGAGACACGGCCCAGACUCCUACGGGAGGCAGCAGUGGGGAAUAUUGGACAAUGGGCGCAAGCCUGAUCCAGCAAUACCGCGUGUGUGAAGAAGGCCUGAGGGUUGUAAAGCACUUUCAAUAGAGACGAAAAGCUUAGGGUUAAUAACCCUGAGUCUUGACUUAACCUAUAGAAGAAGCACCGGCUAACUCCGUG
rnacentral:rRNA from 1 species